rnacentral:rRNA from 1 species
UACGUAGGAGACGAGCGUUGUCCGGAAUUACUGGGCGUAAAGCGCGUGUAGGCGGAUGAGCAAGUCUGCUGUGAAAGCUCCUGGCUUAACCGGGAGUGGUCGGUGGAAACUGCUCGUCUGGAGGACGGUAGAGGUAGGUAGAAUUCCCGGUGUAGUGGUGAAAUGCGUAGAGAUCGGGAGGAACACCAGUGGCGAAGGCGACUACCUGGCCUGUUUCUUGACGCUGAGGCGCGAAAGCUAGGGGAGCAAACGGG